CUUAAUUUAUUUGAUUACCAACAUGUUAGAAUACAAAACCAUAAUUGAAAGGUCCAUGAAAUUAUAAAAAGAAAAAAAAACAUAAUUAUUGGAUGCAAGCAUAAUACUGAGUAUAAAUAAUGGAAUAAUUUAUUUAAGGUAUAUUGCAUAGAUUUUGUGCUAGUGUAGCAACUCAUUCUUCCCUGCAAAGUCUAAGUAUAAUCUAUUAGGUUUGGUACUUAUAUGGUUCUAUAUCAAAAUAUACACAUCGUCGUUUAAUGCACUUCCACCCAAACCCUGUUAAGGGACUUUUUGGACAAUCAGCAUCAGUUUCACAUGUAAUAUACUCUAAUGUGAGAAAAGAUAUAAAAAAAAUAUUGUUAAUAUAACAAUAUAACUAUUGCAUACAAACAAUAAAGUAAGAAGGAAACUUGAAAAGUAUGAAAAAAUAACUUACCCGCAACGUUCAUUGCAAAAAGAAAUAAAGAAUUUAAGAUAAUCAUAGCAUAAACAAAC
rnacentral:lncRNA from 1 species